UACGUAGGGGGCAAGCGUUGUCCGGAAUUAUUGGGCGUAAAGAGCGCGUAGGCGGUCCGGUAAGUCAGCUGUGAAAGUCAAGGGCUCAACCCUUGAAAGCCGGUUGAUACUGUCGGGCUAGAGUCCGGAAGAGGCGAGUGGAAUUCCCAGUGAGCGGUGAAAUGCGCAGAUAUCGGGAGGAACACCAAUGGCGAAGGCAGCUCGCUGGGACGGUACUGACGCUGAGG
rnacentral:rRNA from 1 species